rnacentral:rRNA from 1 species
AUGAUAACUAGUUCCCAAUGCCCGCUUUGUACAUCCGACUGUGAGAGCAUUAGGCACGCUUUGUUUCUGUGCCCGAGAGUGCAAGAAAUAUGGCGAAUUCUAGGUCUGGGACCCUCGAUCAAUGAGGUAUGUUCAUCUGAAAGGGAAGGAGGGUCUGUGCUGGCGGAUGUGCUACUGUCCAGGAAUCAUUUUCAGUCGUUGGUGGCUGAUGUUAACCGCAAUGAUCUACUAGCCAUAGGUGUCUGGUAUGUGUGGUGGGAGCGUCGCCAGUUCACUCAUGGUGAGCUCCUUUUUGAGCCAACGAGAUCAUCACAAGCAAUUUUAGUUUUGGCAAAAAAUUUCACACGGGCACAAUCCAAAAAUACGAGAAUCAAAAGACAUGGAUGGAACAAGCCGCCGGAUGGUCUAGUUAAACUCAAUGUUGAUGCUACGUUUGAUCAAGACAGAGGUACUGGGACUUGUGUUGAUAUUCCGUUCGUGGAAGAUGCCGGGACAGCAGAAGCGCGGGGUCUUAGGGAUGGGCUUCUUCUGGCUAAUGAUAUGGGCUGCAACAAAUCUGUGGAGGCGGAUUGUAUGGAGGUAAUUGAGAUCAUGCAGAACGGCGGAAAUUCACUCGGCCCAGCGGCGGCAAUCUAUGAAGAAUGCUCUUUUUUAGCUCGCAAUUUUAUUUCAAUAUGUUUUCAUCACUGUCCUAGGGAGGCCAAUAUGGCGGCGGAUGUAUUGUCUAGGAACUCGGAGACUUCUCGAACAAUUGUCUGGAAGUCGGAGCCUCCGGGGUUUCUAGUAGACGUUUUAUCAAACGAUGUAUCUUUAUUCUCACAUAAAAUAUAA